rnacentral:rRNA from 1 species
GUGGGGAAUAUUGGACAAUGGGGGGAACCCUGAUCCAGCCAUGUCGCGUGUGUGAAGAAGGCCUUUUGGUUGUAAAGCACUUUAAGCGAGGAGGAGGCUACCGAGAUUAAUACUCUUGGAUAGUGGACGUUACUCGCAGAAUAAGCACCGGCUAACUCUGUGCCAGCAGCCGCGGUAAUACAGAGGGUGCAAGCGUUAAUCGGAUUUACUUGGCGUAAAGCGCGCGUAGGUGGACAAUUAAGUCAAAUGUGAAAUCCCCGAGCUUAACUUGGGAAUUGCAUUCGAUACUGGUUGGCUAGAGUAUGGGAGAGGAUGGUAGAAUUCCAGGUGUAGCGGUGAAAUGCGUAGAGAUCUGGAGGAAUACCGAUGGCGAAGGCAGCCAUCUGGCCUAAUACUGACACUGAGGUGCGAAAGCAUGGGGAGCAAACAGGAUUAGAAACCCUGGUAGUCC